UGAUGGCUCUCGGGGUCUUCUGACAUCUGCCCCAUCAGUCAUGUGUGGAGGGGGAGGCCCCGCCCAGUAUACCAUACAAGGUAUGGGAGGAAUGCACGGCGUGGAAGGCCAUCUGCUUCAUAAGGAGAACAUGCAGAGGCCAGAGGGGUCCCACACUGACGCUGACCAUGCUGAUGAUAGUUAGCGUUGACCUCCGUUGACGUCUCCCACGAAGGUACGACAACACAAACUCUUCUUUUCUACGUUUUGAAGCCGUCUGAUGAGCGAUGUGACACUCCUGCUUUAUGCUGGGAAUGUGUGGUGUGGUUUAUGCAGGAGGUUAGCGUGCCGGCCUCCAGGGUUGUAAUCCAUUUUGGGCAUCUCUGUGUGGAGUUUGCAUGUUAUGCAUGUUUGGUUCUAAGUCGUCUAUGGAUGUAAACGGGAAUGGUUGCUUCUCAUUAGGGUGAGGGGAAAGCUGGAACCUAUCCCAGGCUCAUCUUGAUGAAAAUAAUGUCAAUGUGCAUGUCACGUGUACGGACUGUCAGAAAGGGAAAGAUAAUAUAUCGAUAUAAUAAUUUUUUUGUAAUAUUAUAUGAAUCUCUAAUAAGAUAAUCAUAUUUUUUAUUUAGGGCGGCACGGCUGUCGAGUGGUUAGCGCGCAGACCUCACAGCUAGGAGACCAGGGUUCAAUUCCGUGGGUUUUCCCCGGGUACUCCGGUUUCCUCCCACAUUCCAAAAACAUGCUAGGUUAAUUGGCGACUCCAAAUUGUCCAUAGGUAUGAAUGUGAGUGUGAAUGGUUGUUUGUCUAUGUGUGCUCUGUGAUUGGCUGGCGACCAGUCCGGGGUGUACCCCGCUUCUCGCCCAAAGACAGCUGGGAUAGGCUCCAGCACCCCCGCGACCCUCGUGAUGAAAAGCGGUAGAAAAUGAAUGAAUAUUUUUUAUGUAAGCUUUAUAUCAUGUUAAGUUACCCAGCAUGCCUUGCGGUACAUAACAUUAACUGAUUAGCGUCAGGGCUUGACUCUUCACUAGGAGGUUCUCAGAUCUCCAUGUGGACUUUACAUGAUUCCUCCCACAGUCCGUUUUAGGUUCACUGAAGGCACCGAUGGCUGGGAUAGGCUCCUGCUUGCCCGUGACAAUGAAAUCCAAAAUGAAAUCCAUAAUGUAAUUCAUGUACAGCACAUGCAGCAUGUCUUUGGCUUGUACAUAAACUAUAUAUUCAUAGCUAAUAUAUGUGCAUUCAGGUGAUCCCUCAGAAACGCCGCUGGUCCACACGCCCCCCCAGAGGGAUGGGGGGAGUCCAGAGAGGCGUUGCUAUGGAGACCAAGCGAUGCAGAACAAACGUGGGGCAUGAGUCUGGUGAGGUGCUAUUAUGUAUUUAUUGUAAAUGUCACCGCAAGCUUUACACACACUUAACCGUCAUAGCAUAGAAAACCCUUUCUACAUACAGUUAGAGCUCCGUAGACAUGAAAUAACAACCCUAUAAUCAUCUUUACAUUGGUAUCACCCAAGGAGAGUUCCUUGUUUGUUUUUCUUUUUGACUUCCUUUUUCUGCUUUUCAUCAAUGUAACAUUACUGACACCUAGUGACCAGUGUUGAAUAGCACAUGAAAAUGUGUUAAAUACGCAUAUUGUUUGACUAAUAAUAACCAGCAGCGUGAUUUAUUAAUGUGAGAUGUUUCAGAUGGGAUGUUCGUGCGGCCAAGAGGUGAGUAUCAAACACACACACACACACUUUUGCUUUCAGAAUGAUUUUUGUGUCAAAGUAGUCCUUACUAGUCCUCCUAGUGUGUGUGUAAUAUGAGAAGGACCAGCACUCAGCCCCACAGGAAGUUAGAAUGAUGUCGGUCUGUUAGAGUUCAAGUCAUUUCCUGUUUAUCCCUCCCACGUCAAAAGCGUGCUGGCAGUACUUUCUGUCUACCGCCGUGCGUCCCUGCGGCCCGCGGUGCAGUGCUGCAUCUCUGGUCAGUUGCUAGUCUGAGAUGAAGCACUGUAGCUCAGGACGGAGGACCCACACGCCCCGGUAACCCCGGUAACCACGGUAACCCCGGUAACCCCGGUAACACCUGCCAGUCAAAUGGGUGAUGAGAUUUUCAUCUCCUCUCUCCUGGGGUCCAGUUUUCCCAGGAAUCCCUUCGCCUGUCAAAAAGGGGAUUCCUGGAAAUACUGUUCUUAGGGGCGGGGCCAAGCAACAAUUUCAUCAGUGUUAAACUAUGGUUGAAUUGUUUUGAUUAGUUUUUUUUAAAUGGUUCAAUUAUUUUGAUGAGUAUUAAACAAUGAUUGAAUUAUUUGUAUUAGUUUUUACAUUUUUUAAUUGUUUUCAUGACUUUAAACAAUGAUUGCAUUAUUUUAUUAGUUUAAAAUUAAUUGUUGAAUUAUUACUAUGAGUAUUAAAGAAUGAUUGGAUUAUUUUUUAGUAUUUAAAAAAUGUAAAAUUAUUUCUAUGAGUAUUAAACAAUGAUUGCAUUAUUUUAUUAGUUUAAAAUAAAUUGUUGAAUUAUUACGAUGAGUAUUAAACAAUGAUUGCAUUAUUUUAUUAGUUUAAAAUAAAUUGUUGAAUUAUUACUAUGAGUAUUAAACAAAGAUUGGAUUAUUUUUUAGUAUUUAAAAAAUGUCAAAUUAUUUCUGUGAGUAUUAAAAAAUUAUUGGAUUAUUCUAUUAGUUUAAAAUAAAUUGUUGAAUUAUUACUAUGAGUAUUAAACAAUGAUUGGAUUAUUUUUUAGUAUUUAAAAAAUGUAAAAUUAUUUCUAUGAGUAUUAAAAAUGAUUGGUUAUUCUAUUAGUUUAAAAUAAAUUGUUGAAUUAUUACGAUGAGUAUUAAACAAUGAUUGGAUUAUUUUAUUAGUCUAAAAUAAAUUGUUGAAUUAUUACUAUGAGUAUUAAACAAUGAUUGGAUUAUUUUUUAAUAUUUAAAAAAUGUAAAAUUAUUUCUAUGAGCAUUAAACAAUGAUUGGAUUAUUUUAUUAGUUUAAAAUAAAUUGUUGAAUUAUUACUAUGAGUAUUAAACGAUGAUUGGAUUAUUUUAUUAGUUUAAAAUAAAUUGUUGAAUUAUUACUGAGUAUUAAACGAUGAUUGGAUUACCUGUAUUAUAGUGUAGAAAAUGCAAAAUGAUUUCCAUGCGUAUUAAACAAUGAUUGCAUUUUUUAAAAAUAUUACAUUAUUUUAUGAGUAUUAAUCAAUGAUUGGAUUAUUUUUAUUCGUUUUUAAGUGAUUGUUCAAUUAUUUCCAUGAGUAUUAAACAAUGACUAAAUCAUUUCCAUGAAUAUAAAAACAUUGCUAAAUCAUUGCCAGUAUUAUAUAACAAUGUUUGAAUCAUUUCCAUGUAUGAAGCAAGGAUCAAGUGAUUCUAUUAAUAUGACAUGAAACAAUAAUUGAAUUGUGAGUGUGAUAUUGGGAGGCUGACCAAACAGAAAUAUGAUAAAGAUGUGCGACUGACACAAAGUCAUGAUGUAAAAGUGCUGAUGGAAGUAUGAUGUACUGUUAUAAUAAUAUUAUAACAAUAAAUCCCACUAAGUUGUCUCUCA